CCGGCGUCCUCGCAGUACGGGUAGCUCCCGGGGAUGCUGCCGCCAGUGUCCCGGCCCCAGGGUGAGCCUCGGCUGAAGCCCCCGCCUCUCCGGGAGUCUCUCCAAGACCGGCAGGUUUCAUACUUGCUGGGAAACCUUUACAUCCGCCCUCAAUAUCAGCAGUCAAGAUCAGGAGCACCAUGAAAAACACCCUGAUAAACUGCUGUUGAAAAUGGACACAUCUUAAAGGUUUGGAUGUACAAAACCCCU